UGCCUACGGGGGCAGCAGUGAGGAAUAUUGGUCAAUGGGCGCGAGCCUGAACCAGCCAAGUCGCGUGAGGGAAGACGGUCCUAUGGGUUGUAAACUUCUUUUAUAAAGGAAUAAAACGAGGCACGUGUGCCUUUUUGCAUGUACUUUAUGAAUAAGGAUCGGCUAACUCCGUGCCAGCAGCCGCGGUAAUACGGAGGAUCCGAGCGUUAUCCGGAUUUAUUGGGUUUAAAGGGUGCGCAGGCGGAAGAUCAAGUCAGCGGUAAAAUUGAGAGGCUCAACCUCUUCGAGCCGUUGAAACUGGUUUU
rnacentral:rRNA from 1 species